GACGAACGCUGGCGGCGUGCUUAACACAUGCAAGUCGAACGGAAAGGCCCUGCUUUUGUGGGGUUCUCGAGUGGCGAACGGGUGAGUAACACGUGAGUAACCUGCCCUUGACUUUGGGAUAACUUCAGGAAACUGGGGCUAAUACCGGAUAGGAGCUCCUGCUGCAUGGUGGGGGUUGGAAAGUUUCGGCGGUUGGGGAUGGACGCGCGGCUUAUCAGCUUGUUGGUGGGGUAGUGGCUUACCAAGGCUUUGACGGGUAGCCGGCCUGAGAGGGUGACCGGGGACAAGAGGACUAAGGUAGGGACCAGACGGCUACGGGAGGCAGCAGGGGGGAGUCUGGCACAAUGGGCCGGAGUCUGAUGCAGCAACGCCGCGGUCGGGAAGACGGCUUGUGGGUUAUGAAAAGCUUUCGCCUGUUACCAAGCUUGUGUGACGGUAACGAAAAAAUAAGCACCGGCUAACUUCGUG
rnacentral:rRNA from 1 species